CGCGUAAGAAUCUACCUAGUAGUGGGGGACAACUCGGGGAAACUCGGGCUAAUACCGCAUACGCCCUACGGGGGAAAGCGGGGGACCGUUCGGGCCUCGUGCUAUUAGAUGAGCUUGCGUUGGAUUAGCUUGUUGGUGGGGUAACGGCCCACCAAGGCGACGAUCCAUAGCUGGUUUGAGAGGAUGAUCAGCCACACUGGAACUGAGACACGGUCCAGACUCCUACGGGAGGCAGCAGUGGGGAAUAUUGCACAAUGGGCGCAAGCCUGAUGCAGCCAUGCCGCGUGUGUGAAGAAGGCU
rnacentral:rRNA from 1 species